UACGUAGGGGGCUAGCGUUGUCCGGAUUUAUUGGGCGUAAAGGGCGCGUAGGCGGCGACUCUAGUCAGAUGUGAAAGUCCUGGGCUUAACCUGGGAACUGCAUCCGAUACUGGUCGGCUUGAAUCCGGGAGAGGGAUGCAGAAUUCCAGGUGUAGCGGUGAAAUGCGUAGAUAUCUGGAGGAAUACCGGUGGCGAAGGCGGCAUCCUGGACCGGCAUUGACGCUGAGGAGCGAAAGCUAGGGGAGCAAACGGGG
rnacentral:rRNA from 1 species